AUGCAAGUCGAACGAUGAACCACCUUCGGGUGGGGAUUAGUGGCGAACGGGUGAGUAACACGUGGGCAAUCUGCCCUGCACUCUGGGACAAGCCCUGGAAACGGGGUCUAAUACCGGAUACUGAACCGCUUGGGCAUCCACGCGGUUCGAAAGCUCCGGCGGUGCAGGAUGAGCCCGCGGCCUAUCAGCUUGUUGGUGAGGUAACGGCUCACCAAGGCGACGACGGGUAGCCGGCCUGAGAGGGCGACCGGCCACACUGGGACUGAGACACGGCCCAGACUCCUACGGGAGGCAGCAGUGGGGAAUAUUGCACAAUGGGCGAAAGCCUGAUGCAGCGACGCCGCGUGAGGGAUGACGGCCUUCGGGUUGUAAACCUCUUUCAGCAGGGAAGAAGCGAAAGUGACGGUACCUGCAGAAGAAGCGCCGGCUAACUACGUGCCAGCAGCCGCGGUAAUACGUAGGGCGCGAGCGUUGUCCGGAAUUAUUGGGCGUAAAGAGCUCGUAGGCGGCUUGUCGCGUCGGUUGUGAAAGCCCGGGGCUUAACCCCGGGUCUGCAGUCGAUACGGGCAGGCUAGAGUUCGGUAGGGGAGAUCGGAAUUCCUGGUGUAGCGGUGAAAUGCGCAGAUAUCAGGAGGAACACCGGUGGCGAAGGCGGAUCUCUGGGCCGAUACUGACGCUGAGGAGCGAAAGCGUGGGGAGCGAACAGGAUUAGAUACCCUGGUAGUCCACGCCGUAAACGGUGGGCACUAGGUGUGGGCGACAUUCCACGUCGUCCGUGCCGCAGCUAACGCAUUAAGUGCCCCGCCUGGGGAGUACGGCCGCAAGGCUAAAACUCAAAGGAAUUGACGGGGGCCCGCACAAGCGGCGGAGCAUGUGGCUUAAUUCGACGCAACGCGAAGAACCUUACCAAGGCUUGACAUACACCGGAAAACCCUGGAGACAGGGUCCCCCUUGUGGUCGGUGUACAGGUGGUGCAUGGCUGUCGUCAGCUC
rnacentral:rRNA from 1 species